rnacentral:rRNA from 1 species
GACGAACGCUGGCGGCGUGCUUAACACAUGCAAGUCGAACGGAAAGGCCCUGCUUGCAGGGUACUCGAGUGGCGAACGGGUGAGUAACACGUGGGUGAUCUGCCCUGCACUUCGGGAUAAGCCUGGGAAACUGGGUCUAAUACCGGAUAGGAGCCAUUUUUAGUGUGAUGGUUGGAAAGUUUUUUCGGUGUAGGAUGAGCUCGCGGCCUAUCAGCUUGUUGGUGGGGUAAUGGCCUACCAAGGCGGCGACGGGUAGCCGGCCUGAGAGGGUGGACGGCCACAUUGGGACUGAGAUACGGCCCAGACUCGUACGGGAGGCAGCAGUGGGGAAGAUUGCACAAUGGGCGCAAGCCUGAUGCAGCGACGCCGCGUGGGGGAUGACGGCCUUCGGGUUGUAAACGCCUUUCGCUAGGGACGAAGCUUUUUGUGACGGUACCUAGAUAAGAAGCACCGGCUAACUACGUG